GGCCGGUUGGCCCAAUGGCAAGGCGUCUGACUACGAUAAAGUAGGGUAUCAGGAGAUUCUGGGUUCGACCCCCAGGCUGGUCA
rnacentral:tRNA from 2 species